rnacentral:rRNA from 1 species
AACGAACGCUGGCGGCAUGCCUAACACAUGCAAGUCGAACGAGACCUUCGGGUCUAGUGGCGCACGGGUGCGUAACGCGUGGGAACCUGCCCUUGGGUUCGGACUAACUCCCAGCCAGGGGUGCUCAAAGCGGAUACUGUCUUCGGACCAAAGAUUUACCGCAUGUGACUGGGCCGGCGUUGGCUUAGCUAGUUGGUAGGGUAAAAGCCUACCAAGGGCACGAUCCAUAGCUGGUAUGAGAGGAUGAUCCGCCACACGGGGACUGCGACCAGGCCCAGACUCCUACGGAAGGCAGAGGGGGGGAAAAUUGGACAAGGGGCGAAAGCCGAUGCCAGCAAGCCCGCGGGAGUGAUGAAGGCCUUAGGGUUGUAAAGCUCGUUUACCCGGGAGGAUAAUGACAGUACCGGAAGAAUAAGCCCCGGCUAACUCCGUG